GCUGUAACUUUAGGAAUUUAAUACCGGCCUGGAGUGGCCAGUAUUAAUCAUUAGGUUUCAGAGUAGCAGUGGGGUUAGUCUGUAUUUGCAAAGAGAAAAGGAGUACUUGUGGCACCUUAGA